rnacentral:rRNA from 1 species
AGAGUUUGAUCCUGGCUCAGAUUGAACGCUGGCGGUAUGCCUAAUACAUGCAAGUCGUACGCGAAAGCCCGCAAGGGUAAGUAGAGUGGCGCACGGGUGAGUAACACGUAGGUGACCUUCCCUUUUGAAUGGGAUAACCCGAAGAAAUUCGGGCUAAUACCAUAUAAGUUUCUUUGGCGUGGAGCUAAAGAAAGAAAUGAUUGCCUCUACUUGUAAGCAAUCGCUGAAGGAUGGGCCUGCGGGACAUUAGCUAGUUGGUGGGGUAACGGCCUACCAAGGCGACGAUGUCUAGCCGGUUUGAGAGAACGUCCGGCCACACUGGAACUGAGACACGGUCCAGACUCCUACGGGAGGCAGCAGUAGGGAAUAUUGCGCAAUGGGCGAAAGCCUGACGCAGCAAUACCGCGUGAGUGAGGAAGGUCUUAGGAUUGUAAAACUCUGUCGGGAUGGAAAAAUGACGUAUGGUCUAAUAGGCCGUACGAGUGAUGGUACAUCCAAAGGAAGCACCGGCUAACUUCGUGCCAGCAGCCACGGUAAUACGAAGGGUGCAAGCGUUGUUCGGAUUUAUUGGGCGUAAAGCGCGCGCAGGCGGGUGAUUAAGUCAGGUGUGAAAUCUCAGGGCUCAACCCUGAAACUGCGCCUGAAACUGAUCAUCUAGAAUGUCGGAGAGGGAAGGGGAAUUUCGCAUGUAGGGGUAAAAUCCGUAGAUAUGCGAAGGAAUACCAGAGGCGAAGGCGCCUUCCUGGACGAUGAUUGACGCUGAGGCGCGAAAGCGUGGGGAGCAAACAGGAUUAGAUACCCUGGUAGUCCACGCCGUAAACGAUGAGAACUAGAUAUUGUGGGAAUUGACCCCUGCAGUGUCGCAGCUAACGCAUUAAGUUCUCCGCCUGGGGAGUACGGUCG